rnacentral:rRNA from 1 species
UACGUAGGGACCAAGCGUUGUUCGGAUUUACUGGGCGUAAAGGGCGCGUAGGCGGCGCUGUAAGUCACUUGUGAAAUCUCCGGGCUUAACUCGGAACGGUCAAGUGAUACUGCAGUGCUAGAGUGCGGAAGGGGCAAUCGGAAUUCUUGGUGUAGCGGUGAAAUGCGUAGAUAUCGAGAGGAACACCUGCGGCGAAGGCGGGUUGCUGGGCUGACACUGACGCUGAUGCGCGAAAGCCAGGGGAGCGAACGGG